ACGGAGGGUGCAAGCGUUAAUCGGAAUUACUGGGCGUAAAGCGCACGUAGGCUGUAGUGUAAGUCAGGGGUGAAAUCCCACGGCUCAACCGUGGAACUGCCUUUGAUACUGCACAACUUGAAUCCGGGAGAGGGGGGUGGAAUUCCAGGUGUAGGGGUGAAAUGCGUAGAUAUCGGGAGGAACACCAGUGGCGAAGGCGGCCCUCUGGACCAGUAUUGACGCUGAGGUGCGAAAGCGUGGGGAGCAAACAG
rnacentral:rRNA from 1 species